UACGUAGGGAGCAAGCGUUGUCCGGAAUCAUUGGGCGUAAAGCGCGCGUAGGUGGCCUCAUAAGUCCGCUGUGAAAGUCCAAGGCUCAACCUUGGAAAGCCGGUGGAUACUGUGAGGCUAGAGUACGGAAGAGGCGAGUGGAAUUCCUGGUGUAGCGGUGGAAUGCGCAGAUAUCAGGAGGAACACCAAUAGCGAAGGCAGCUCGCUGGGACGUUACUGACACUGAGGCGCGAAAGCGUGGGGAGCAAACAGG
rnacentral:rRNA from 2 species